rnacentral:RNase_P_RNA from 1 species
GAAGCUCAUUGAGUAAUCGCUGAAUAGCGUCGAUAUGGCGCUAUUCAGAGGAAAGUCCGGGCAGCAUAGAACACGACAGUUGCUAACGGCAACCAAGGGUAACCUUAGGGAAAGUGCCACAGAAACGAUACCGCCGUAAAAGGUAAGGGUGAAAAGAGCGAGGUAAGAGCUCGCAGCUAUACAUGGUGACAUGAUAUAGGAGGUAAACCCUGUCGGCUGCAAGGAGAGCUAUACUUUUUAAGUUGGCUGUUCGUCAAAGCUCGAUAACCGCUUGAUUUUUAGAGCGAUUUAAAAACUAGAUAGAUGAUUACUCUAGACAGAACCCGGCUUAUAGAUGAGCUAAAAUA